rnacentral:sRNA from 1 species
AAAAAGAAAGAAAGAAAAA